CCCAGGUAAGUGCCGGACCAGGCCGUCGAAGGACGGACGGGGCCGGCUCGGGGUGAAGUCGCUCGCGGAUGCGGGUGGCCGGGCAACUCACAGGCCCGAACCCGACAGCUCACCUCGUAGGCGUCGGUGAGGAGAACC
rnacentral:sRNA from 2 species